CGCCCUGACCUGGGGAGGGUGGCAUCCGGUUGCUGGUGUCCAUCUCCUGUCAGUCAGGGACAGAGCAACCCCUUGUUCAUCCCAGCUUGGCUUCUGGCCUGUGCCCAUGCCUUUACACUAAC
rnacentral:snoRNA from 1 species